UUCAGCCUCCCAAAGUGUUAGGAUUAUAGGUGUGUGUCACCAUGCCCAGCCUGCAUUUACUUUAAUUACAACAUUUGUUUCCCUUUAGCUUUAUCCUGGUGGACAUGUAAGAUAGAUGUAACUUUGGUAUUUGCCUGAAAUAUUGAUGUUGGUCAAGGGGAAGCACUUGAACAGAGCUCAUGGUACCAGAUGUGAAGUAAAGUCUACGGACAUCGGAAACGUUGUGGGACUCAGGGCAAAAGUCCUAUACCAGGAGGUCUUGAGAGUUCACAAGAGGCAGUAGAGAUGGGGUUUCACCAUUUGGCCACACUGCUCUCGAACUCCUUACCUCAGAUGAUCUGCCCACCUUGGCCUCCCAAAAUGCUGGGAUUACAGGUAUGAGCCGCGGCACCUGGCCAGAAAA